rnacentral:lncRNA from 1 species
AAAGGAAAUAGAAACCGAAUAAGGAAAAAGAAACCGAAUAAGGAAAUGAAAAUCAAAAAAGGAAAUAAAAACCGAAUAAGGAAUUGAAAAUCGAAAAAGGAAAUAGAAAACGAAUAAGGAAAUGAAAAUCGAAAAAGGAAAUAGAAACCGAAUAAGGAAAUGAAAAUCGAAAAAGGAAAUAGAAACCGAAAAAGGAAAUGAAAAUCGAAUAAGGAAAUAGAAACCAAAUAACGAAAAGGAAACCGAAUAAGGAAAUGAAAAUCAAAAAAGGAAAUAGAAACGGAAUAAGGAAAUGAAAAUCGAAAAAGGAAAUAGAAACCGAAUAAGGAAAUGAAAAUCAAAUAAGGAAAUAGAAACCGAAUAAGGAAAAAGAAACCGAAUAAGGAAAUGAAAAUCGAAAAAGGAAAUAGAAAACGAAUAAGGAAAUGAAAAUCGAAAAAGGAAAUAGAAACCGAAUAAGGAAAUGAAAAUCGAAUAAGGAAAUAGAAAACGAAUAAGGAAAAGACACUGAAUAAGGAAAUGAAAAUCAAAAAAGGAAAUAGAAACCGAAUAAGGAAAUGAAAAUCGAAAAAGGAAAUAGAAAAUGAAUAAGGAAAUGAAAUCGAAAAAGGAAAUAGAAACAGAAUAAGGAAAUGAAAAUCGAAAAAGGAAAUAGAAAACGAAUAAGGAAACGGGAAAAA